rnacentral:ncRNA from 1 species
CCCGCUGAAUUUAAGCAUAUAACUAAGCGGAGGAAAAGAAACUAACGAGGAUUUCCCUAGUAACGGCGAGUGAAAAGGAAAAAGCCCAACGCUGAAUCCAAUAGAUAUUAUAUGGCUAUAUGGAAAUGUAGCGUAUAGGUAUAACUAACCGUAAAUAUUUUUACACCCAAGUCCCCUUAAGCGGGGCUACAGUCCGUAGAAGGUGCUAGACCUGUACGGAUGAAAAAAGUUACGGUAGGUUAUUCCUUAGAGUCGGGUUGUUGGGUUAAUUAAAAGUAAUAAUUGUAUUUGCAUUGAUUUGUAUUUAUUAUUAUCAAAUAAUUUUCAUUCAAGUGAGAUCCUGUCC